AUCCAACUGACGAGUCCCGAAUAGGACGAAAUGCGCGUCAAAGUGGAU
rnacentral:hammerhead_ribozyme from 1 species